GAUGAACGCUGGCAGAAUGCUUAACACAUGCAAGUCGAUGGGGAAGUGGUGCUUGCACCAUGGUAACCAUGGCGGACGGGUGAGUAACGCGUAAGGAACUUACCUGCGGGACCGGGAUAACAGCAGGAAACUGCUGACAAGACCGGAUAAGGUCAUUAAGCUGCAUAGCUUAGUGAUGAAAGGAGACGCCUGCGGAGAGCCUUGCGUCCUAUUAGCUAGUUGGAGGGGUAACGGCCCACCAAGGCGAAGAUAGGUAGCCGGCCUGAGAGGGUGGACGGCCACAAGGGGACUGAGAUACGGCCCUUACUCCUACGGGAGGCAGCAGUGGGGAAUAUUGGACAAUGGGGGCAACCCUGAUCCAGCAAUUCUGUGUGCACGAAGACGGUUUUCGGAUUGUAAAGUGCUUUCAGUAGGGAAGAAGGAAGUGACGGUACCUGCAGAAGAAGCGACGGCUAAAUACGUG
rnacentral:rRNA from 1 species